AUCAGCCAGCAUUACUAACCUGUCACUGGAUAGAUCUGGUUCUCCUAUGGUACCUUCAUAUGAGACAUCUGUCAGUCCCCAGGCUAACCGAACAUAUGUUAGGACAGAGACCACUGAGGAUGAACGCAAAAUUCUUCUGGACAGUGUGCAGUUAAAAGACCUGUGGAAAAAAAUCUGCCAUCACAGCAGUGGAAUGGAGUUUCAGGAUCACCGCUACUGGUUGAGAACGCAUCCCAACUGCAUUGUAGGAAAGGAAUUAGUCAACUGGCUAAUCCGAAAUGGGCAUAUUGCCACAAGGGCACAAGCUAUAGCAAUUGGACAAGCAAUGGUUGAUGGACGUUGGCUGGAUUGUGUUAGUCAUCACGACCAGCUUUUCAGAGAUGAGUAUGCGCUGUAUAGACCACUGCAGGUACUUUUCUGUGUUUACUGCCAAUUAGAAUGUAGCAAGCUUAUUUUAUAGUCUUUCUUCAUCAGUGGGAAUAAAAAGUAGUUUAUUAGAAGAUGAUUUUUCUAACAUUUUUUCCUGCUGUUUGAGGAAAGUUAAAACUUUUUUUACUUGGUAGGCAGCAGUGAUGAAAAAGCUGCCAUUAGAAUCAAACAUUUUAUUGUUUACUUUAAAUUUGAUCAGACAAUAAA
rnacentral:sRNA from 1 species